rnacentral:rRNA from 1 species
GACGAACGCUGGCGGCGCGCCUAACACAUGCAAGUCGAACGAGCGAGAGGAGGUUUACUUUCUCAAGCGAGUGGCGAACGGGUGAGUAACGCGUGAGGAACCUGCCUCAAAGAGGGGGACAACAGUUGGAAACGACUGCUAAUACCGCAUAAGCGCACGACCCGGCAUCGGGGAGAGGGAAAAGGAGCAAUCCGCUUUGGGAUGGCCUCGCGUCCGAUUAGCUAGUUGGUGAGGUAGUGGCCCACCAAGGCGACGAUCGGUAGCCGGACUGAGAGGUGGAACGGCCACAUUGGGACUGAGACACGGCCCAGACUCCGACGCGAGGCAGCAGUGGGGAAUAUUGCACACUGGGGCAAACCCUGAUGCCGCGACGCCGCGUGUAGGAAGAAUGUCUUCGGAUUGUAAACUCCUGUUGUUGAGGAAGAGAGUGACGGUACUCAACAAGGAAGCGACGGCUAACUACGUG